GAGCCUCGGACUGUCCAUGAGCCCGUCCUUGAUUAUCUCCAAAAAUGAAAUCAGCAAAGUCGUCCAUGCUUGUACUGUCCGUGCUACAAGAGCAUUCAUCUGAGGUGCUGUCAAAGAGAGAAGAACUGUCACUCGACGAGUCCUCUUCCAAAAUUCUCUGCAGCCUCUGGAAGCUGGAGUAAAACGACUGUAUAUUCCCAGGUCGAUCACCACCAGGAGUGUUGGAAGACAACACAUGACUUGCAGUAGACACAGACCGUGACACAGUAGUCUUAGGUACCGGCACACUGCCUUUUUUAUUGGAUGCUUCAGAUUUGUUACAUACUACCAAUCUUGGUGGCAUUGGAGAGCACCUGUAUCCAGUUCAUUUGAAUAUAUAACAUAAGUAACCAGAUCAAACAUAAUCCACAAUCUUAAAGAGACUGAUAGAUGAGUUAUUAUUGUAAUAUUAUUUACCUUUCGUAGAACAACAUAUACGCUCCCAUUGUCAAUACCCUUUCAACAUCAGAAGUUACUACCUGAAGAUAAUCACAACAGAAGAAUUAAACUUAGAAAAUUUUAUUCAAAUGUAACAAUAUUCAAAACAGAGCUUACUUAGAAACUAAUUCACAACUCUUACCGUGCUAUCAUCAGCUUUGUACCACUUGUUUUGACUGUUUCUAACAUAGCACACGUAGUGACCAGAAAAUGCUGCAUUCAUUGUAUCCAAGUGAACAAUAACUCCAUAGAGUUUGUAGUCAUGUGAUUUUUCACUUCCACCGCUGACAUAUGGAGUCAAAUCUAGAGUUUCUGGAAACCUAAUCAACUUAUUUAACUUCCCGAAUUUUCCAGACUGCAAGAAGUUUCCUAAAAUUGUGAGCUAACAAACAAACAAAAACACAGAUGGACCCAACAUAACAACCCGUGUCUCCGCUGAAGAUAUUAUUUACCUGGAAUCGUUUUAGUGCAAUUGUAAGGACAUUCGGAGGCUCUGUGAUUUUCAGUUUCUUUUUGGCUCUCUCAUAGGACUUACACCUGCUCACACAAAGAAAAAAAAAGCUUAGCUUCGAUCAGCUUUUGAAUGUAAAUCCUACUACCAGAAUCGGAUAAGAGGUUGCAGUUGAUUGGUUAGAACUAGUAGGCAAAUACACGACCAUGAAUGUACUAGAUAUAACUUUGACUUGAAAUGCCUCAAGGAACUGUAUCAAACGACCAUAAGAAGUUCAACACAUGGAAAGGAAACGCUGACAGACCUGCCACAUUUAUAUUUGUUUUCUCCAUCCAAUAUUUCAGUUCUUGUAAAUCGACGCAAAGCCUCCUCCAAUGUGCUGAUAUCACCAUCAAUCUCAACUGUCAGAUCCAUCAUUUUCUCACGCCGCUCAGAUUUUUCUUGGCAUUUCAUGCAUUUAAUCUAUUGUUUCACAAGAAAAAACAAACGAUAAGCACUACUACUUCCUCAAAAACAAUGUAUAAUGCGGCAAAUACAAAUCUAAUAGUUAGCAGCACCUUUGAUCGGAGGUAUCCACCGAAUGUCAAACCAAUGAGAGUAGUAUCUUCUAGUUUCUUAGUCUUUGGCAUAUCGUAUCCAGAUGCCUUAAUGCACACAGACUGCAUUAUGUCGACAACAAACCUGCAAAAGGCAAGAAAAAAUGGGAAGGGAAAAUGAAAUCAAAACAAGUUCUUCCAGUUGUAAUAUACAGAUAAUGCAUUAAAGUUUAUUUGAUAGGCGAAAUGUCAGUUCACCUAAGGAAUUCAUGCGCAUCUUCUUGCUUGCCAUUCCCAAGACGGAUUCCAAUACUCUGCAGCUGUGAUAGCAACCCAUUAGGGGACAGUGAAGACUUCCCUUCUUUUGCCUUUAAGACCAGCUUCUCAAACCCACAGGUGAAGCACUGUUCUUUGUUUAGACCUAACGGUUAAAUGAACUAUUAAGAGCUUGAUAUAACAAUGAUAACAAAACAUCAAAUAAGCAACAUAUAUCACAUAGAAAAGAAAAGAAAAGAGAACAGAACCAGAGACGCACAUGUUCUAGAAUGGAGUUGUUGGAGGAAGUAUGUGGUCAGAGGAGCAGUGAACAUCAGGCAUUGGAAGACCACAUUAGCAAAGCAGCUGCAAUAAAAUGAGAACUUUCUUGCAUUAGCGAGUGUGAGCUAUUAUAGUUCUUUUUACAACAGAGGAUGAAGAUUAUAACAGCCAGCAAAGAACAUACACUUCUUCAGAAAGCAUUAUUCCCAGACUAAAAAGACCGUGCUACAAGAGCAUUCAUCUGAGGUGCUGUCAAAGAGAGAAGAACUGUCACUCGACGAGUCCUCUUCCAAAAUUCUCUGCAGCCUCUGGAAGCUGGAGUAAAACGACUGUAUAUUCCCAGGUCGAUCACCACCAGGAGUGUUGGAAGACAACACAUGACUUGCAGUAGACACAGACCGUGACACAGUAGUCUUAGGUACCGGCACACUGCCUUUUUUAUUGGAUGCUUCAGAUUUGUUACAUACUACCAAUCUUGGUGGCAUUG
rnacentral:lncRNA from 1 species